AGACCUCGGCGCUGCUGGCGAAGGCGGCCCGGCUUUGGACCGGGUGUUGGGAGGUUCGAUUCCUCCGAGGUCUA
rnacentral:tRNA from 1 species